GACGAACGCUGGCGGCAUGCCUAAUACAUGCAAGUCGAACGCUGAAGCACCCUGCUUGCAGAGUGCGGAUGAGUGGCGAACGGGUGAGUAACACGUGGGGAAUCUGCCUAUAAGUGGGGGAUAACAUUCGGAAACGGAUGCUAAUACCGCAUAUAUUCUUGGACCGCCUGGUCCUUGAAAGAAAGACGGCUUUGCUGUCGCUUAUAGAUGAUCCCGCGGCGUAUUAGUUAGUUGGUGGGGUAAAGGCCUACCAAGACAAUGAUACGUAGCCGACCUGAGAGGGUGAUCGGCCACACUGGAACUGAGACACGGCCCAGACUCCUACGGGAGGCAGCAGUAGGGAAUCUUCCACAAUGGGCGAAAGCCUGAUGGAGCAAUGCCGCGUGAAUGAAGAAGGUCUUCGGAUCGUAAAGUUCUGUUAUUAGAGAAGAACAAGUCAAGAAAUAACUGUCUUGACUUUGACGGUACCUAACCAGAAAGUCACGGCUAACUACGUG
rnacentral:rRNA from 1 species